rnacentral:rRNA from 1 species
UAACCUCGACCCAAGAGAGUCGGGAAUAACCACCGUAGGAAACAGAUGACUAAUACCGGAUAACAACAGAUGAUGCCUAUCAACUGUUUAAAAGAUGGUUCUGCUAUCACUCUUGGAUGGACCUGCGGUGCAUUAGCUAGUUGGUAGGGUAACGGCCUACCAAGGCGAUGAUGCAUAGCCGAGUUGAGAGACUGAUCGGCCACAUUGGGACUGAGACACGGCCCAAACUCCUACGGGAGGCAGCAGCC